rnacentral:piRNA from 1 species
UGGAAGCGGGCCACGUGUGGGAUGAU